rnacentral:rRNA from 1 species
UAAGUNUGAAGUUAAAGGCUGUGGCUCAACCAUAGUUCGCUUUGGAAACUGUCAAACUUGAGUGCAGAAGGGGAGAGUGGAAUUCCAUGUGUAGCGGUGAAAUGCGUAGAUAUAUGGAGGAACACCGGUGGCGAAAGCGGCUCUCUGGUCUGUAACUGACGCUGAGGCUCGAAAGCGUGGGGAGCGAACAGGAUUAGAUACCCUGGUAGUCCACGCCGUAAACGAUGAGUGCUAGGUGUUGGAUCCUUUCCGGGAUUCAGUGCCGCAGCUAACGCAUUAAGCACUCCGCCUGGGGAGUACGACCGCAAGGUUGAAACUCAAAGGAAUUGACGGGGGCCCGCACAAGCGGUGGAGCAUGUGGUUUAAUUCGAAGCAACGCGAAGAACCUUACCAGGUCUUGACACCCCGAUGCUAUUUCUAGAGAUAGAAAGUUACUUCGGUACAUCGGUGACAGGUGGUGCAUGGUUGUCGUCAGCUCGUGUCGUGAGAUGUUGGGUUAAGUCCCGCAACGAGCGCAACCCCUAUUGUUAGUUGCCAUCAUUCAGUUGGGCACUCUAGCGAGACUGCCGGUAAUAAACCGGAGGAAGGUGGGGAUGACGUCAAAUCAUCAAGCCCCUUAUGACCUGGGCUACACACGUGCUACAAUGGUUGGUACAACGAGUUGCGAGUCGGUGACGGCAAGCUAAUCUCUUAAAGCCAAUCUCAGUUCGGAUUGUAGGCUGCAACUCGCCUACAUGAAGUCGGAAUCGCUAGUAAUCGCGGAUCAGCACGCCGCGGUGAAUACGUUCCCGGGCCUUGUACACACCGCCCGUCACACCACGAGAGUUUGUAACACCCGAAGUCGGUGAGGUAAC